rnacentral:misc_RNA from 1 species
GAUGAAGAACGUAGCGAAAUGCGAUAAGUAAUGUGAAUUGCAGAAUUCAGUGAAUCAUCGAAUCUUUGAACGCACAUUGCGCCCGCCAGUAUUCUGGCGGGCAUGCCUGUUCGAGCGUCAUUACAACCCUCAGGCCCCCGGGCCUGGCGUUGGGGAUCGGCGGAGCCCCCCGUGGGCACACGCCGUCCCCCAAAUACAGUGGCGGUCCCGCCGCAGCUUCCAUCGCGUAGUAACUAACACCUCGCGACUGGAGAGCGGCGCGGCCACGCCGUAAAACACCCAACUCUUCUGAAGUUGACCUCGAAUCAGGUAGGAAUACCCGCUGAACUUAAGCAUAUCAAUAAGCGGAGGA